UACGGAGGGUGCGAGCGUUAUCCGGAAUCACUGGGUUUAAAGGGUGCGUAGGCGGUCUGAUAAGUCAGUUGUGAAAUUCCUCGGCUUAACCGAGUGGACUGCGAUUGAUACUGUCAGACUUGAAUCAGGUUGAGGUAGGCGGAAUGUGACAUGUAGCGGUGAAAUGCUUAGAUAUGUCAUAGAACACCGAUUGCGAAGGCAGCUUGCUGGGCUUAGAUUGACGCUGAGGCACGAAAGCGUGGGGAGCAAACAGG
rnacentral:rRNA from 2 species